UACGUAGGGGGGCAAGCGUUGUCCGGAUUUAUUGGGCGUAAAAGGCUUGUAGGUGGCCACGCCAAGUCGGAUGUGAAAUCUCCCGGCUCAACUGGGAGGGGUCAUUCGAUACUGGCGGGCUCGAGGCCGGUAGGGGGAAGUGGAAUUCCCGGUGUAGUGGUGGAAUGCGUAGAUAUCGGGAGGAACACCCAGUGGCGAAGGCGGCUUCCUGGACCGGU
rnacentral:rRNA from 1 species